rnacentral:rRNA from 1 species
UACGUAGGCAGCAAGCGUUGUUCGGAAUCACUGGGCGUAAAGAGUGUGUAGGCGGUGCUCUAAGUUCGGUGUGAAAUCUCCCGGCUCAACUGGGAGGGUGCGCCGGAAACUGGAAUGCUUGAGCGUAGGAGAGGAAAGCGGAAUUCCUGGUGUAGCGGUGAAAUGCGUAGAUAUCAGGAGGAACACCUGCGGUGUAGACGGCUUUCUGGACCAUUGCUGACGCUGAGACACGAAAGCGUGGGUAGCAAACAGG